rnacentral:rRNA from 1 species
AGAGUUUGAUCCUGGCUCAGGACGAACGCUGGCGGCGUGCCUAACACAUGCAAGUCGAACGGAGAAUUUUAUUUCGGUAGAAUUCUUAGUGGCGAACGGGUGAGUAACGCGUAGGCAACCUACCCUUUAGACGGGGACAACAUUCCGAAAGGAGUGCUAAUACCGGAUGUGAUCAUCGUGCCGCAUGGCAGGAUGAAGAAAGAUGGCCUCUACAAGUAAGCUAUCGCUAAAGGAUGGGCCUGCGUCUGAUUAGCUAGUUGGUAGUGUAACGGACUACCAAGGCGAUGAUCAGUAGCCGGUCUGAGAGGAUGAACGGCCACAUUGGGACUGAGACACGGCCCAAACUCCUACGGGAGGCAGCAGUGGGGAAUCUUCCGCAAUGGACGAAAGUCUGACGGAGCAACGCCGCGUGAGUGAUGAAGGAUUUCGGUCUGUAAAGCUCUGUUGUUUAUGACGAACGUGCAGUGUGUGAACAAUGCAUUGCAAUGACGGUAGUAAACGAGGAAGCCACGGCUAACUACGUGCCAGCAGCCGCGGU